AUGGCGACCAAAUCCCCCAGCCCUACCACGGACCCAGCACCCGCACCAGGCCCUACCCAGCACCCGCUCCGCCGCAGCCACUCUCCGGUCUCCGCGCGGGGCUCUACGCCGACCGCACCGAGCAGCAGCAGCAGCAGCGCAAUGAAGCCAACCAAGUCAGUGAGAUCCAAAGUCGGGGAGUCUCUGCCUGCUACCUUGAGCACUGAUUUCGACAACCAGGUUGGUGGGCAGAAAUCUUGUGGAAGUAAUAGAUCAAGCGAUUUAGAAUAUCUAGCAAACGAGAUAGAUGAUCUUGUGCUGCAACCAAGGUAUGAUGGCGUGAAUGGGCCAAAGAUGGUCUCAUUCUCUGACUUCCUGCGGAUCGUUGCUUCAGAAUCAGAACGACAACCUAGACGACGUCAGCCCAUUGGUGCCCUGCCGCAAGAUGAUCGUAACGUUUGUUCUUUAAGAACCCCAUCUCCACCCGUUGAAGAAGAACCAAAGGGAGAUGUGUUAGUCAAAUCCUCCCCUGAAAAGGCGGAUGCUGCAUUGGCGCAUGCUAUUAUGUGGGAGGGAACAAUUCAUCUUACUUGGUCUUCACUCACAAAUGUUGUUGCUAUCUUCAAAAGCGGUGAAAAGCCAUCUACCAAUGAGUGGCCCCGCUCUCUCGAGAUCAAGAAAAGAGUGAGCCUCGGUGUUUUUGAAAAAUUGCUUGGACUGCUUCGUGAAUCCAGGAAACGUACUAUAAUGGUAACUGAGUUGCGUUGGAAGGAGGGCUCUAUUGAGAGUGGUCGGCAUCAUCUCUUAAAGACCAUAGAGUCGUAUACUGCCAAUGAGAGAGUAGGGUUAGUGAAGCCAACCGAAGAGGUGGAGUUGUUCCUCUGUCCUUAUCAAGGGAAGGCAGCUCAGAUACUUGCUGACAACCUGCUAAAGGAGUUGUGGUGUGGCCAAGACCCCAUAUCUCAUCUAUGGUAG
rnacentral:rRNA from 1 species